GACGUAGGGCGCGAGCGUUGUCCGGAUUUAUUGGGCGUAAAGAGCUCGUAGGCGGCUUGUCGCGUCGACUGUGAAAUCCCGCGGCUCAACUGCGGGUCUGCAGUCGAUACGGGCAGGCUAGAGUUCGGUAGGGGAGAUUGGAAUUCCUGGUGUAGCGGUGGAAUGCGCAGAUAUCAGGAGGAACACCAAUGGCGAAGGCAGAUCUCUGGGCCGUAACUGACGCUGAGGAGCGAAAGCAUGGGGAGCGAACAGG
rnacentral:rRNA from 1 species